rnacentral:rRNA from 1 species
GGGCGGGCGGCGUCUUACCAUGCAGUCGAACGCUGAAGCUUGGGUGCUUGCAUCUGGGUGGAUGAGUGGCGAACGGGUGAGUAAUACGUGAGUAACCUGCCCUUGACUCUGGGAUAAGCCUGGGAAACUGGGUCUAAUACUGGAUACUACACUCUCUCGCAUGGGGGUGUGUGGAAAGGGUUUUACUGGUUUUGGAUGGGCUCACGGCCUAUCAGCUUGUUGGUGGGGUAAUGGCCUACCAAGGCGACGACGGGUAGCCGGCCUGAGAGGGUGACCGGCCACACUGGGACUGAGACACGGCCCAGACUCCUACGGGAGGCAGCAGUGGGGAAUAUUGCACAAUGGGCGAAAGCCUGAUGCAGCGACGCCGCGUGAGGGAUGACGGCCUUCGGGUUGUAAACCUCUUUCAGCACGGAAGAAGCGAAAGUGACGGUACGUGCAGAAGAAGCGCCGGCUAACUACGUGCCAGCAGCCGCGGUAAUACGUAGGGCGCAAGCGUUGUCCGGAAUUAUUGGGCGUAAAGAGCUCGUAGGCGGUUUGUCGCGUCUGCUGUGAAAGCCCGGGGCUUAACCCCGUGGUGUGCAGUGGGUACGGGCAGACUAGAGUGCAGUAGGGGAGACUGGAAUUCCUGGUGUAGCGGUGAAAUGCGCAGAUAUCAGGAGGAACACCGAUGGCGAAGGCAGGUCUCUGGGCUGUUACUGACGCUGAGGAGCGAAAGCAUGGGGAGCGAACAGGAUUAGAUACCCUGGUAGUCCAUGCCGUAAACGUUGGGCACUAGGUGUGGGGGACAUUCCACGUUUUCCGCGCCGUAGCUAACGCAUUAAGUGCCCCGCCUGGGGAGUACGGCCGCAAGGCUAAAACUCAAAGGAAUUGACGGGGGCCCGCACAAGCGGCGGAGCAUGCGGAUUAAUUCGAUGCAACGCGAAGAACCUUACCAAGGCUUGACAUACACCAGACCGGCCCAGAGAUGGGUUUUCCUCUUUGAGGUUGGUGUACAGGUGGUGCAUGGGUGUCGUCAGCUCGUGUCGUGAGAUGUUGGGUUAGGUCCCGCAACGAGCGCAACCCUCGUUCUAUGUUGG